rnacentral:rRNA from 1 species
UGGGGAAUAUUGCACAAUGGGCGCAAGCCUGAUGCAGCAACGCCGCGUGAACGAUGAAGGUCUUCGGAUCGUAAAGUUCUGUUGCAGGGGAAGAUAAUGACGGUACCCGGUGAGGAAGCCCCGGCUAACUACGUGCCAGCAGCCGCGGUAAUACGUAGGGGGCUAGCGUUAUCCGGAUUUACUGGUCGUAAAGGGUGCGUAGGUGGUCUUUCAAGUCGGUGGUUAAAGGCUACGGCUCAACCGUAGUUAGCCUCCGAAACUGGAAGACUUGAGUGCAGGAGAGGAAAGUGGAAUUCCCAGUGUAGCGGUGAAAUGCGUAGAUAUUGGGAGGAACACCAGUAGCGAAGGCGGCUUUCUGGACUGCAACUGACACUGAGGCACGAAAGCGUGGGUAGCAAACAGG